rnacentral:lncRNA from 1 species
UGGAAGAGCGAGCUCCGCUCUGCUCUUGAUUCUCUACAGUUGGGGUUAUUCGGAUGGUUUCUUUCAUCAGAGAGUCUUUCAAUCGGACAUAUUUCUCUGUCCGAGCCAGUAUUUUCGAAAAAUCCAGAGGAAAGAUCUUUAAUAGCGACUUUUUAAAGUCGCCUAUCAACAAUCCACCCUUCAGGACAGAUAUUGCGAUUAAGUGAUCUAGAUCGCGAACUUCCAAUAUAGCCCUGUUGAACCGAGCUACGUA